AAGCCAUAUAUAAGAAACCUACAGCCAACAUGAUACUCAAUGGGCAGAAACUAAAAUCCUUCCCACUAAGAUCAGCAACAAGGCAAAGAUGUCCUCUUUCACCACUGCAAUUCAAUA